CAUAUCACUAAGCGGAGAAAAAGAAAAUAACAAUGAUUCCUAGAGUAACGGCGAGUGAAAUAGGAUCAGCCCAUAGCCGAAUUCCGCUGUCCUCGACGGCAGCUGGAAGUUGUGGCGUUUGGAACUGCCUACUUGUAACCGAUGGCCGGGCUACGCGACUCCUCUUGAUUGUGGUUUGCCCAUAGCAGGUGAAAGGCCUAUUGGUCGUAGCCUCGUGCCGGCGGUGAUGGCAGUCCUUAGAGUCGGGUUGUUUGGGAUUGCAGCCCGAAGUAGGUGGUAAACUCCACCUAAGGCUAAAUACGGUCGCGAGUCCGAUAGAGCACAAGUACCGUGAGGGACAGUUGAAAAGAACUUUGAAGAGAGAGUUCAAAGUACGUGAAACCGUUCAGAGGUAAACGGGUAGAAAGUCGAAUUAGAGGCUGACAAUCAAGCUGAUACUAAGUUGAUGUGAGCUUUUGGCACGUUAAAGGCUACUUGUUUACAUACGGCUUGUAUCGGUUGUAUUUGUUGGUUUCGGAUCGCCGCAACGGCAGUGACACUGACCGGUUGGCAUUUAUCCCUCUGGUCGAUGUAGAUUCAUUUGAGUCUUUUAACGUCGGCACAAGGGUAAAUGUCCCGAGUACAUGGCACAGUUGGUUUUGAACUUAUGCGUUCCUCUGGUUACCGUUUGUUUUGCCUUGGUGGUCUGAUCUUAAACAAGUUCACCUAUCGAGGUCAGAGCUGCGGUAGCUAGUUUAAUGACGGAACAAAAGUUUAUCGUGGCGUUUGACAGCGAGUUGUCUACCCGACCCGUCUUGAAACACGGACCAAGGAGUCUAACCUGUGCGCGAGCCAUUGGGCGUUUUACAAACCCAAAGGCAAAGUGAAAGCAAGCAUUGGUGAGAUCUGUCGUUUAUUUGUUAAGAAUAACGGCGGCGCAUCAUCGUCACGCCUCGUUUCGGCUUCGGCUGAUGAGGCGCAGACAGAGCGCACAAGUUGGGACCCGAAAGAUGGUGAACUAUGCGAGGCGAGGUCGAAGCCAGAGGAAACUCUGGUGGAGGACUGUAGCGGUUCUAACGUGCAAAUUGAUCGUCGCAGCUUCGUAUAGGGGCGAAAGACUAAUCGAACCAUCUAGUAGCUGGUUCCCUCCGAAGUUUCCCUCAGGAUAGCUGGCACUUUCGGAGAGCAGUUUUGUCCGGUAAAGCGAAUGACUAGAGGCCUUGGGGACAUAACGACCUCAACCUAUUCUCAAACUUUGAAUGGGCAAGAAGAGGGACUCGCUUAAUUGGAGUUUCCUCAUUCGAAUGCUUGAGUGCCAAGUGGGCCAUUUUUGGUAAGCAGAACUGGCGCUGUGGGAUGAACCAAACGUUUAGCUAAGGCGCCAAAUGCUAACGCUCAUCUGAACCCAUUAAAGGUGUUGGUUGAUAGAGACAGCAGGACGGUGGCCAUGGAAGUCGGAACCCGCCAAGGAGUGUGUAACAACUCACCUGCCGAAUCAACCAGUCCUGAAAAUGGAUGGCGCUGAAGCGUUGCGAGCCUAUGCUAGACCGACAUUGCAAUAAUUUUAAUUAUCAAGCAAUGUCGAGUAGGAGGGUCGCUGUGGUAUGCGUUGAAGCUUAGGGCGAGGGCCCGAGUCGAGCUGCCAUAGGCGCAGAUCUUGGUGGUAGUAGCAAAUAUUCAAAAGAGAACUUUGAAGGCCGAAGUGGAGAAGGGUUCCAUGUGAACAGCAUUUGAACAUGGGUCAGUCGGUCCUAAGCGAUAGGCAAAUGCCGUUCUGAAAGCAGGCUUUAUUGAAUUUAUUUAAUUAAUGCCUGAUUUUGGUCGAAAGGGAAUCGGGUUAAUAUUCCCGAACCUGGACGCGGAGAUGGGGCCGUAGCUUAACGGCUGCGGCUCAGUGCGGUAACGCAAACGAUCCUGGAUUCGUUGGCAGGAGUCCCGGGAAGAGUUCUCUCUUCUUUGUAAGGGGCCGACUCCCUGGAAUCGGCUUAGCCGGAGAUAGGGAUAUUGCACGUGAGCCCGUAAAGCACCACACUUCUUGUGGUGUCCGGUGCACGACUGUCGACACUUAAAAGUCCAGGUUAGACGUUCAUAAUGUUCGCGCCAGGCCGUACCCAUAUCCGCAGCAGGUCUCCAAGGUGAACAGCCUCUGGCCUUAGACUGAUGUAGUCAAGGGAAGUCGGCAAAUUGGAUCCGUAACUUCGGAACAAGGAUUGGCUCUAUGGGUUGGGCUGAACGGGCUGUGCUAGGAAGCGAUGCCUUGCUACUGGUGCUUUGGGUCUGACUGGCAACGGUUGGGCCUGGCGCCGGUUGGCGGCGCGUGGAUCUGGUGCGGCUUCGCCAGUGCUCCUCGUGGGUGUUGGCAUCGUUCAGCAAAAAGCAACCGCCAUAGAACUGGUACGGACCAGGGGAA
rnacentral:rRNA from 1 species